GAGUUUGAUCCUGGYUCAKAACGAACGCUGGCGGCGUGCCUAACACAUGCAAGUCGAACGGAAUGAAKGGGCUUGCUCCUUCWUUUAGUGGCGCACGGGUGAGUAACGCGUAGAUAAUCUGCCUGACGAUCUGGGAUAACACKUCGAAAGAGGUGCUAAUACCGGAUAAGCCCACGGGGUCUUUGGACUCUGCGGGAAAAGGGGGGGACCUUUUGGCCUUCUGUCGUCAGAUGAGUCUGCGUACCAUUAGCUAGUUGGUAGGGUAAUGGCCUACCAAGGCUACGAUGGUUAGCUGGWCUGAGAGGAUGAUCAGCCMCACUGGAACUGAGACACGGUCCAGACUCCUACGGGAGGCAGCAGUGGGGAAUUUUGCGCAAUGGGCGAAAGCCUGACGCAGCAACGCCGCGUGCGUGAUGAAGGCUUUCGGGUCGUAAAGCUCUGUCGAGGGGAAAGAAGUGUAUUGCGGUUAAUACCCGCUUUACUUGACGGUACCCCUAAAGGAAGCACCGGCUAACUCCGUGCCAGCAGCCUCGGUAAUAC
rnacentral:rRNA from 1 species